rnacentral:tRNA from 1 species
AGAGUAUAGCUCAGUGGUAGAGUGCAUGCUUAGCAUGCAUGAGGUCCUGGGUUCAGUCCCCAGUACCUCUG